rnacentral:lncRNA from 1 species
AAUUUUCUAUUAUGAAAGUAUAUAUGCGAAACUACUGAUUAUUUAAUAUUUUUAAUAUUCUGUAUUCGCACCAACCGUUCCUAGAGUAAGCGGCAAAGAACUUGUGGUUGGUACUCGAGAUCCAAGUUCGAGUCCUAGUUGAUUCAUAUUUACAACAAAGUUUAUUUCUAAAUAAAAUAAAUGAAGCUAAAUUUAUAUCUAAAUAAAAUAAAUGAAGCGGGUAGCGUACUAUCUAUCUCUCAAAAAAAAAAAAAAAUUCUGUAUUCGCAA